AUCCCUAUGCAGAUGGAAACAAAUCUUUUAGAAGAAAGAUUCAAGAUACAGUAGCACUCUUGAUGGUUUAAGGCGGAUUUGGAUGUGGAAAGAUGCUUCGGGAAAAUGGAACCAAUAUUCUUACCAGGUUAACGAUGCAAUUAAUAGGAAUUAUGACAGAAAUCAACAAUCCACAGUUCUGAUAAAAAUGGCGGGUGAAACGUUCAGAGUGGUGAUGUCAAAAAACAAACAGAUCAACGUUCAUUCGAAGGAGAUAAAUGAAGUGUCAUGGAAAUGGAACUGACGG